UCCAUCGUCAUCUUGUCCGCCUCGCCCAGAUCCGCUGAUAGGGUGAGACCGGGAGAGUAGCCGCCUGUCUCCUGAGGAGUUCGUCCCCGACGGCCUCUCCAAGGACUCCCUCCUCCUCACUCCCAACGCCACUGCCUUCGGAACACGCUGCUCUUCUUCGUGGCAUUGAGUUCAAGCAGGGUCAACCGCGAGCUGUAUCGUCAUCGAGCGUUCCUCUUCUUCGUCGGGCCUGCACCUUCUCGGGGUGCAGCCGUGCAGCACCUGCUGCUGUGGAAGAUAGAUGGCCCGGUGCUGGUAGAGCUGCUCCACGUCGGCCCUGUCGAGCUCAACCACUAAUUGUUCAACCACGCGCUGCACCACCACUUCCUCUACACUCGCUACCAGUGAGCACCACAACGCCUCUAUCAUCAUCGAGCUCAUCACCUGUAUGUAUGGAUCAAGAUGCUAUCACUUGUUUGUUUCCCUGUAUGUCUUUUCUCUCCUUAACAAGGACACUCACGGUCACAAUGCACCAACUAAAUCUCUUGUAGCAAAUAACCAUUAUUGUAAAAGAAUUCUCAAGUGAUUUUCUUUUAUAAUCUUCUCUAGUAUUCUGAUAGCCUAGUGGAACUUUUACCUUUAAGGCUCCGCUUGGAUUAUUGUUUGGCCUCUGAAUACCCCCGUAAAAACGAUACGGACCUCUAGGCGUCGUUUUUUCUCCAGGCGGAAGUUACGCUGUGGCCGGUAUAAUACACGUGUAUUCUAAAUCCGGAUGUAAAAUCUUACACUGAUUCCAAACGGGCCCUAAUUAACCAAUAUACACCACAGCACACAUGGUUUAUGCCUUGAGCAUUAGUUCAGUUAUGCGUACAUUUUGUGAAGGUUUGUCGCUCCAACUUGUGAAGCCAUAUAGUUGAGUUUGUACCUAUCAGCUGUAAUAGCAAAAGUAUAUGGUCCUAUUUCAGGUGUAAGAGUCAUUUCCUAUUUCAGGUCUAAGAGUCAGUUUAGAAAACAAAACAAGUAAAGGCUCAGGUAUACGAGGUCAUACGGAAGAUUCUUAAAAUGUAGGCCAUGUUUCGUAUAAAAAAAGAAGGGCAUGUUACUGGCUUUCGCUUUCAUUUCUGAUCCAUCUGUCAAAGAUAAAUAUUGCGAGCAAGAUCACCGCCCAAAUAUGAACAGUUUAGAAUCUUCAAACUUAUGCAAAGUUCUUCUCCAUAACAAAAUCUUGAGAAUUGGAAAUUUUCAUCAGUUGUUUCGAUUAUGUUUUCUUAUUUCCCAUGCCUUAAUAUUUCUAUUGGUUGAUUACAUUCCUCCAGCUAGAACUUAUUUUUAAGCUCAGAACCAUACAGAAGUGGUAGCACUGAAUGUAGGGCCUGUUUGGAUACAGUGGCUAUGCAAGCAGUGACAGUGGAUUGGGUUGUUAAUUCUUCGGGUUUAGGAUUUAUUCUGACUCUAUUAGGAUUUCAGUUAUAUUUGUUCCAAUGUGGGUUAAAACUCCUUACUAUUUCAGUAAAGUUCAUGCCCUUGGUUUUCCCCAUUGACCUUUGUUGCUCUGAAUUUGGCCACCUGGGUAGUGUAGCAGUACUUGUUACAUGCAGAGUGUUAGAAAUCAGCACUAAUUCCGAAUUUUUUCCAUUAUUGCUGCUUAGCACUCACAUUUCUUCGCUGAAGGAUAGAAUAUGGAAUAGUAGAAGCUUUGGGAAAGGGCUGGAGCUCUAGGGCUUAUGGUGGUUCUGCCAAAUUGUUACAAACAAUCUUGUCCCAGAAUUUAAGCAUAAUUAAAUCUAGGCUCUUCUCAAAAGCCUCUCACUAUUGAUAUAUAUUGACAUUGUAGUUAACCUGUAUCCUGCUUCGAGUAGUACACCUUAUAUUGUUAGUAUAUAUAAUCACUCAAUGGUUUUGAAUUAAGUUAUGCAUUUUUUCUAUUACACUCUAGCCGAAUCUGAUAAAAGAGAACGCUACAACAGCCAUAUCGAAUAACUCUGACAAGGUGUAAUGUAAGUUCCUUCUUGGAAGAUGUUCUUUUGAGAUUGAUGUCUGGCAGGCAUUAUCUGUCUCUACAUGUUGCAGACUCCAAUGUAUAUCUUGAGAAAGAAAUUUGCUUGAGUAACAAAGAAGUUUCCCAUAUGAUGUUUAUGGAUUACUUCUAGCAAGGAAUCAGAGCUUGGAACCACAUGCUUAUUCAUUGUUAUUGUUGGCCUAAAGCUUAAUAUAUAACUGCUACUCUGCUUCUGCACUUUUGAAAGCUUAGAUUUGUUAAUAUGAUUCAGUUUCUUAAACUAAAGCCGAUUGUGGACAUCUUUAGUGUCUUUGCCUUAUUAGGAGUGUCAUUUGAUGAUAACGUACUUGCAUUCAAGUUUUUUCGAUGGUAGCACCUUCGUAAUAUUGCGAAGUUUUAUAUUAUUAUUCUUAAGAUAUUUGCAAGCCUGUCAAACUGUUUUCUCAAAAUUCCUGCCAUCUUGCAGUGACAAUCCUCAAGCUGAUAAGGAUUCAAAUUAGUUUUCCUUUUUUUGCUGGCUAGUACAGUAACUUUGUGCAUGUAACAUGAUUAUACCACUUUCUGCUGUACAAGAUAAGUACACGUAAUAUUUACUGUUAAUAUUUGUACUUUGCACACUAUUUGGAUGAGAAGUAAGAUAAACUUGCUACUAUCCGUAUGAUAAAAAUGGACAUGUUCUCUACUAAAGUAGAGAUUACUCUAGAGAUGUUACUAGUUGCUCUAGGUUUCAGAACAUAUUCAGCUGUUGUAUGUGGCCAUGCGGCUGCUGUAUAUACAUAUUCCUGUUAAUAUUUGUACAGACUUUGCACACUGUUGAUGAGAAGAUAAGCUUGUUACUUGUUAACAGGAAUAUAAGCUUGUUACUUGUUAAGAUAAUAAAAAUGGACUUGUUCUCUACAAUAGUAGAGAUGUACAGAUUACUCUAGAGAUGUUACUGGUUGCUCUAUAUUUCAGAAUGCUAUGCAGCUGUUGCAUGUGAUUGUUGUAACUCUUCUUCCUUAAGUGUUGAAUACAAUUGUUGUAUGUAACAUCUUCCGAUUUGUUGCAGGUUUCCCAAAGGUACAAGUUCACUAAGGUUUGGAAGAUCUUCAAGCUGCUGGAGAUUUGGAAGAUCUACAACUAAGAUGGAGUGAUAAUGUUGUAUGUCUUGUUUGUUGAACCUAGAGAUUUGCUCUGCCCAUUUUGGUGCUUGUUAAGCUCAUUUUGGUUUUGUGGCACACAUUUAGAAACAUAUGUACAUCUCCUCUUGUGGCGGUGCUUUAUUCUGGUUGUGGCAAACAUAUAUGUACUCCUUUUGUGAACAACCUCCUUAUAUAUGGUCGUUUUGUUUAUGGAAUGAAGUUUAAGAUUUCAAUGAAGCCUGUAUGUUACUUUGAUUGAAUUACAUGUAUAAAUUGUGUGAUAUGUCCUGGUUGUCUA
rnacentral:lncRNA from 1 species